rnacentral:rRNA from 1 species
AGAGUUUGAUCAUGGCUCAGGACGAACGCUGGCGGCGCGCCUAACACAUGCAAGUCGAACGAGCGAGAGAGAGCUUGCUUUCUCGAGCGAGUGGCGAACGGGUGAGUAACGCGUGAGGAACCUGCCUCAAAGAGGGGGACAACAGUUGGAAACGACUGCUAAUACCGCAUAAGCCCACGACCCGGCAUCGGGUAGAGGGAAAAGGAGCAAUCCGCUUUGAGAUGGCCUCGCGUCCGAUUAGCUAGUUGGUGAGGUAACGGCCCACCAAGGCGACGAUCGGUGGCCGGACUGAGAGGUUGAACGGCCACAUUGGGACUGAGACACGGCCCAGACUCCUACGGGAGGCAGCAGUGGGGAAUAUUGCACAAUGGGGGAAACCCUGAUGCAGCGACGCCGCGUGGAGGAAGAAGGUCUUCGGAUUGUAAACUCCUGUUGUUGAGGAAGAUAAUGACGGUACUCAACAAGGAAGUGACGGCUAACUACGUGCCAGCAGCCGCGGUAAAACGUAGGUCACAAGCGUUGUCCGGAAUUACUGGGUGUAAAGGGAGCGCAGGCGGGAAGGCAAGUUGGAAGUGAAAUCCAUGGGCUCAACCCAUGAACUGCUUUCAAAACUGUUUUUCUUGAGUAGUGCAGAGGUAGGCGGAAUUCCCGGUGUAGCGGUGGAAUGCGUAGCUAUCGGGAGGAACACCAGUGGCGAAGGCGGCCUACUGGGCACCAACUGACGCUGAGGCUCGAAAGUGUGGGUAGCAAACAGGAUUAGAUACCCUGGUAGU